rnacentral:rRNA from 1 species
GACGUAGGAUGCAAGCGUUGUCCGGAUUUAUUGGGCGUAAAGCGCACGUAGGCGGCUUUCUAAGUCGGGGGUGAAAUCCUGGAGCUCAACUCCAGAACUGCCUUCGAUACUGGAGAGCUUGAGUCCGGGAGAGGUGAGUGGAACUGCGAGUGUAGAGGUGAAAUUCGUAGAUAUUCGCAAGAACACCAGUGGCGAAGGCGGCUCACUGGCCCGGUACUGACGCUGAGGUGCGAAAGCGUGGGGAGCAAACAGG